CAGGUAUCAGAGGACAAACUGGACAUCAAAUGACAUUACAUUAUCAAUGUUCAGGUAUCAGAGGACAAACUGGACAUCAAAUGACAUUACAUUAUCAAUGUUCAGGUAUCAGAGGACAAACUGGAAAUCAAAUCCAUUUCAUUGCUAUAACAUUGUUUGCUUUCUUCAUUCAAUAUUUGUUUCUCAGAACUAUAACAGUAGACAGAAUAUAAUCAUGUGACUCACUGCCCAGUGCUUUCAAUGACAUGACUGGAGUUCUUUGUCAUGACCACACUGUCCUGAUUGUACUCAAAGAGCAUGUUGCUCUUGGGCCACACACAGAAAUCUAAUCACUGAUCAGUCACACAAGUAGCAUUCACACAGGGU
ensembl:lncRNA